rnacentral:rRNA from 1 species
GAUGAACGCUAGCUACAGGCUUAACACAUGCAAGUCGCGGGGCAGCAUGGGGGUUGCUUGCAAUCCCCGAUGGCGACCGGCGCACGGGUGAGUAACGCGUAUCCAACCUGCCCUUCACCACGGGAUAACCCGGCGCAAGUCGGACUACUACCGUAUGUUGUCCAUUGACGGCAUCCGAUUUGGACGAAAGGUUUGGCGGUGAAGGAUGGGGAUGCGUCCGAUUAGCUGGACGGCGGGGUGACGGCACACCGUGGCGACGAUCGGGAGGGGUUCUGAGAGGAAGGUCCCCCACAAUGGAACUGAGACACGGUCCAGACUCCUACGGGAGGCAGCAGUGAGGAAUAUUGGGCAAUGGGCGUAAGCCUGAACCAGCCAAGUAGCGUGCAGGAGGACGGCCCUAGGGGUUGUAAACUGCUUUGAUGCGGGGAUAAAGUGGCCCACGUGUGGGUUUUUGCAGGUACCGCAUGAAUAAGGACCGGCUAAUUCCGUG